rnacentral:rRNA from 1 species
AUUGAACGCUGGCGGAAUGCUUUACACAUGCAAGUCGAGCGGCAGCGCGGGGCAACCUGGCGGCGAGCGGCGAACGGGUGAGUAAUGCAUCGGAACAUGUCCAUGUCGUGGGGGAUAGCCCGCCGAAAGGCGGAUUAAUACCGCAUACGCCCGGGAGGGGAAAGCAGGGGACCGCAAGGCCUUGCGCGAUUGGGUUGGCCGAUGUCCGAUUAGCUAGUUGGUGGGGUAAAGGCUUACCAAGGCGAUGAUCGGUAGCUGGUCUGAGAGGAUGAUCAGCCACACUGGGACUGAGAUACGGCCCAGACUCCUACGGGAGGCAGCAGUGGGGAAUUUUGGACAAUGGGGGCAACCCUGAUCCAGCCAUUCCGCGUGAGUGAAGAAGGCCUUCGGGUUGUAAAGCUCUUUUGUCCGGAGCGAAACGGUCGUGGUGAAUAUCCGCGACUACUGACGGUACCGGAAGAAUAAGCACCGGCUAACUACGUGCCAGCCGCCGCCGUAAUAC